rnacentral:rRNA from 1 species
GACAUUUGGUGUUGAAGGGCCGCGGUAUUUUGACCGUGCAAAGGUAGCAUAAUCAUUAGUUCUUUAAUUGUGAUCUGGAAUGAAUGGCUUGACGAGGCACGGGCUGUCUUAGUGUUGAAUGUUUUAUUGAAUUUGGUCUUUGAGUUAAAAUUCUUAGAUGUUUUUGUGGGACGAGAAGACCCUAUAGAGUUUGACAUUUGGUUUAUUUACUUGUUUGUUGUUUGUUUAUUUUUGGUGAGUGGGCUUUUUGUUUUGUUGGGGUGAUGGGAGGAAUGUACUUAACUCCUCUUAGUUUUGGUUAUAUUGAUUUAUAAU